GCUUACGGCCACACCGCCUGGUUCACGCACGAUCUCGUUUGAUCUCGGAAGAUAAGAUAGGGUGGGCCUGGUUAGUACCUGGAUGGGAGACUGCCUGGGAAUACCAGGUGCUGUAAGCU
ensembl:rRNA 5S_rRNA 5S ribosomal RNA